ensembl:lncRNA
CCGUUGCUAUCCCUAACAAUAAAAGGGGACAAGAACAUUGGCCCAAUCACAGAUGGUUUGGCUUGGCUGUAGACAGGCAGCUCUUUUGUAGACAUGAGGUCAAGAACGACGAUUCAAUGGACUUGCACAAUCAUUGUGAUUUGGUUGAUUGUGGAAUCACAUGCUCAAAAGAUUAAAAUGAAUCCAAACCGCUGGGGCCCUCAGUCAAUGAUGUAUCUCAAAGGAAAAUAUGGCACAAGAGAUGUACCUGACUAUGAUGACAGUGUUUACAAAUCAGGGUUGAAUGGCUGGUACACACUUAUUAAAGGGUUCCAAAGGUUGAGGUCACUGAAUUUCAGAAUACCCAGAAGACUUCGAACAACUAAUCCACUACUUGGAGUGUUGAAGAUAGAUGGAUAUUUUGAGGUUGAAGUAGUUUAGUUAUGGGACAAUUUUACCUCAAAGAAUUGUCUUAAGAUGAUGAAGGCUUAAGUAUUUUUUCAUUUACUUUUUCACUGCUGACAUUGUUGAUAUGUUCUUUAUAUGAUAAAAUGGUAGUAAUUUGUGCUGUGUAAAUUUGUACAUGUUCUCUUUAAAAAUGUAUUGCUGGAGAAUUUCAACUGAAAAUGACUGAAUAUUGUAAUAAAUU